rnacentral:rRNA from 1 species
CCUACGGGAGGCAGCAGUAGGGAAUAUUGCUCAAUGGGGGAAACCCUGAAGCAGCAACGCCGCGUGGAGGAUGAAGGUUUUCGGAUUGUAAACUCCUUUUGUUAGAGAAGAUAAUGACGGUAUCUAACGAAUAAGCACCGGCUAACUCCGUGCCAGCAGCCGCGGUAAUACGGAGGGUGCAAGCGUUACUCGGACUCACUGGGCGGAAAGAGCGCGUAGGCGGGAUAGCAAGUCAGAUGUUAAAUCCUAUGGCUUAACCAUAGAACUGCAUUUGAAACUGUUAUUCUAGAGUAUGGGAGAGGUAGGUGGAAUUCUUGGUGUAGGGGUAAAAUCCGUAGAGAUCAAGAGGAAUACUCAUUGCGAAGGCGACCUGCUAGAACAUAACUGACGCUGAUGCGCGAAAGCGUGGGGAGCAAACAGGAUUAGAUACCCCAGUAGUC